CACAUCAGGUGCUGUUCAAGGUUUCGGGGACAUGCCAUCGAAUGACACCUUCACUAACACCUGCUCACAAUGAGCUGACCUUCUAGUUGGGGAAGAUAGACAAUACACACAGACUGUAUAAUAUUUCAGGUGCUGAUAAUUUCCCAUGAGGAUUCAUCUCCAGAAAAGCCAGAAUCGUAAGAGAAUAAUUACAGUCUGCAGGUAUAUCCAGAGAAGAAUACAGAGAGGAAGUCAGUCUGUGCUCCAACGCUUAGAAUGUACCAGUAUGCCACCUCAUGUAAACAGACCGACAGCUGCAAGGUUCAAGGAAACUAGCAGACAUCACAAAAGCAGGAGGACAGUUAGACCCAGUGCACAAUCCAGGGCGGGCCCCUGAACUGCAGGGAGGACGUGCUACAAAACGCAGCACUGAUUGACACAACUGGAACGCUGGCUGCCAACUGGAGAAAUGUGUCGGCAUGGACUCAGGUGCUGCUUUACUUACUGUGCAUGAUGUUGGAGGCUCGGAAGUCUGGGUCCUGGGGCUGCACUCCGUCUGCACUGGGGAGGAAGCGCUGCAUGUUCUCCGUGAGGUACCAGCUUUGGUUCUCAUCAAAUACAGAAAACAGGAUGACGUUUCUCUUGUCUGACAUCAUCUGUUAAUUACACACAUGGAGAGAAACAAAUGCCGCUGCUGUUGUCAGCUGGGAUUUAGCAGCCUACACUGGAGCUGAAAAUGUAUGAAGAAGAAGAAAAAAAUCUCAAGUGCUAAAAAAAGAGAGACAUCAAUGCCAGAGUGGUAAGCAACGGUUGAUAAUCCAGGUGACCAUGAGAGUUUCAGGCCUGAAUAUAAGACAAAGGUCUGUGCACUGAAAUUGGAACUCACAUGGGGUAGCAAGAGAUGUGGCGAGAAAUAGGAACAAGAAGUAAGACCUGCCCUCAUGCUAAUGGGUCCCUCAGGAUAAGAAGUGUCUGAUUUUAGUCAUUAAGACUCACUUUGGGGUAUGUUGAAAACCUGAAGAUCCAGUCUAAAUCAGAAUUGCAACUUUAUAUCCUUCCUAAUCUCUCCCUCAUCCUUAUUAGGUUAAGCUUGACCUGAUAUUAGGGAACCUGUAGACGAGAAUGGUAUGGUAUGUUCUUUCAAUGUUUCUCAGCCUUUUAUCUUCCCUCUUCCGGUAGCUGAGAGCGAGGGUGGAUGGGUAUUGGAAGGAAGGGCACAUAGACUUUUGAUUAAUAGGUCCUCUCUCUUUGACAGUACUGUUUGGUCACUAAUGCUUUCUGUGUUGGCAGGUGCCAAAAUGCUGGUCUUAGGACACAUCUACAUUUUCCUUGGCGUCACCAUGGGGACCUCAGCACCGCACAGUUCCAUGAACUUAUUGAUAAAAGGUAGGAACGAACCAUGAAACCGAGGUAACGCUUACCUUUUGGCAAUCUCCCUUCGUGCAAAGGACUGACAUCAGUAAUUCCAUGAGGGAAGAUGUUAUAUGGUCGGCUUGCUUGAUUCUUAAAUAUAAUCUGAAAGUCCAAGUGAGAUACAAGAUCAAGUCCUAAGACGGAGAAGUAAGUCGUGAGUUUAUGUGGCAGUUAUAAAACAUGGCUCCCAAAUUCUUUGACACCUCUCUCAUCAUGAGUGGAACACACACGAUUGGAGCCCUGAGCCACCAUGUGAGAAGUCCCUAUCCCGAGGCCACCAUCGUGCGAGGAAACCAAGCCGCAUAGACAGCUGUGUGUUCUGGCUGACAGUUCUAGUCUUUGAGUCCUCCCCGUUCGGGUGCCAAACAUGAGCCCAAAAUUCAGACUGCAGCGCACUAACCUUCGUUAAAUACAGCAAAAAGUAGGACAAAUUCAUUCAAGGUCCGUGUCUUUUCUUCGGCCAGACUCCCUGAAAAAGAAGUGAGCAUUUAUCUUCUAUCGAAAAUCUUUUCAUAAGAAAUUGGCACUGGGAGGAGACAUUACUUCAUCAACUGCUUGAAAACUGUGUUUUCGGUGUCUUCUCUGAACCCUUCUCCUAAGCUCAGGUCAUGAAGAUUUUCUGCUACGUUUCCUAACAGUUUUAUGGUUUUACAUAUCACAUUUAGGUCUACAACCCAUAUGAGUUCAUCUCUGUAAUUUCCAAAUGGCUGGGCUGUGCAUCUUGUCAAAGUUCUGUAGUUGAGUUAAGCGGAGGAUAAAAGCUUCGUGGAUUCGUAAUGAUGUCUGCAGUUCUGGAGCAGCCCAAGCAUUCAAGAUGCUCUUCAUUUACAUUCCGUCUCAUCCCAUAACAUCUCCAACAGAGCAGGGCAGGAGACCCCUGCGCUGCUCCUGCUCUGCCCAUAUUUUUACUACAAACUCUCAGCAGCCAAAGGCCAAGUCUAAAGUACAGAUGACAGGACAGCAGGAGGGCAUUUGACUCACCUUCAGAAGCUUUCCAGUAGGAUACACCAACAGCAUGAAGACUGACCGCAUGGGAAGCCAUGUUCUUAAGUGUAAUGACCACAGUGUCAUAAACCUCAGCCCGGAUGGUAGGACCCAGCAGACCUUGACAAGAUCACCAUCUGUGAUCCAGGAAGAAGGCCUUCACCAGACACCAAAUCAGUUGGCACCUUCAUCUUGGACUUCCAGCCUCCAGGACUGUGAGAAAUACAUGUCUGCUGUUUAUAAGCCCCCCGGUCUGAGGUAUUUUGUUUAUCAGCCACCCAGUCUGUGGCAUUAGUCCAAACUGACUAAUAUAAUCCCUAACAUCUGUGAAAACAAAAUGCUGUUUUCAAAAGUCAUCUGAUACAUUAGGUGCCAUAUGAUAAGAUAAAUCACAAAAUCGAUACCCAGACGAUCCUUUGUCAAAGCAAUAACUACAGCAUCCUUCGAUUUCACCUCUAAAACAGACUAUAACUUUUAUCUAAGUACCUGUCCUCAAAUUUUGUCAGUAUGUACCUGGAAUUACACUUCCCUUCUUUGGGGUACCGAGAAUACCACAGAGAAAAUUACCUUCCAAUGAAGGCUGUGUAUAUUGAGACCUGCAGGUGCCAGCAGCUGUAAUUCAAGGUCAGCCCUCGACUAGUGCUCAUUCUGGUCUGCAGUCAGAUCCAUUUCCUUGUGGAUCAGUUACUGAAUCUGAAAUUUUAUAACUAUAUACAUGUCCCAGACUGUUAUUCUAUGCCUCAGUUAGUGAAACUAUUUUAGGCAAAGGCUGAUUCCCAACCUUUUCUUCUCUCUGUAACUGACAAGUCAGAUUAUUGCGUCCUGGAGCCCAGUUUAGGCUGAGUAAUCAAAAGGACCAGUGUGAAUCCCAGCGAAGAAGGCCCCAGGUGAAUUGGCAGAAAAUACAAAGUGUUCGAAGGAGACUAUUUAUUUCCACACACUGGUUUUUAUGUGCUAAUGAUUUUUGUACCCUAUGGAAUAGUGCUACAGUUUUCUAUAUGCCAUCGAGAACCUCUCUUCCUGGCUACGCUUCUGGACAUCUAACUCAUAUCUCACCAGAUUUUACCAAUUGGUAUUGUUUCGAUAAGCCAAGGGAGUACAGGCACAAGGCAGGGAUAUUCGGGGCAUCAAUAUUCGUGUAGAAAAAGCAAAGGCUCCUGCCCUAGAAAAAAGUUGUCAUGUGCAGAUCCUGGUCUCCAAACCUUGAUCGGUCAAAAAAAAUUGAGCAGUCACUCCCUCAACAGAUGUAUAUUCCCUCACUUAUAAACCAUAUACUACUACAUCCCACUGCGCCAUCACAAAACACGCACUAGAAAUAAAUGUGGAAAAAGAGAGGUUUUUAAAGACGUAUAAUUAGAUAUGGAGUUGGGUGUUGUUUCUUAUGUCUUAUUGACUCUUACGGGCUUUUCAAAAGCAGGAGAUGUGACAGAUUGAGGAUGGCACAAAUAAAUGGCGAUAUACUCGGUAUGGGUACCAGAAAGAACCUCAGACAUCAGCCAGUAAGAUACAUACAUCCUUGUUACACAUGACAGCAAUAAGGACAAAGUGGGGGAAAGGAGAGGCAGCUCCUGAUUGUGGAUGUUAGUAUGCUUGGAGCAAAAGGCACACCAUACCUGGGAUUAUCGGGAUGUGAAAUUAAUAACAAGGCGUCCGGUAGCUCUUGCUUACUUAUUUAUUUCUCAAUCUUUUGCUGAAAUAACAGAAAUCUCAAUGUUCCCUUUAAGAGCAGCCACACCAGAGAAUCAUUCAUUCCCAUAAGAAAUUUUGCUUUUUCUUAUAAAGGCUUUAUUAGGAAUGUGGAGGUAGUGAAGGAAAAUGAAAUCUAAAAAUGAUGAAAAUUGCUAAAUUGGAAACUCAGUGACCUACAGGGAUUGAAAUAUUUUUCAGUUUUUUUCGUAUCGUGGUAAGACACACAGUACAUAAAAUUUGCUAUCUUAAACACUUCAAAUGUAUAACUCAAUAAUAAUAAGUACAUUCAUAUUGUUGUAUAACCAUCACCACUAUCCACCUCCCUCGUAUCUUGCAAAACUGAAACUCUACAUCCAUGAAACAGUAACUCUCCAUUCCCCACUCCCCCAGUUCCUGAAACGACCAUUCUAAUUUCUGUCUCUGAUUUUGAAUACUCUUCAGUAUCUCAUAUACGUAGAACCAUACAGUAUUUAUCUUUUCGUUACUGGCUUAUUUCACUUAGCAUAAAGUCCUCAAGAUUCAUCUGUUUCAUAACGUGUCAGAAUAUGCUGAAUAACAUUCCAUUCUAUGUAUAUAACACAUUCUGUUUAUCUAUUCAUCCAUAGAUAGACAUUUGGGUUGCUUUCAUGUUUUAGUUAUUGAGAAUAAUGCUACUAUGUACAUGGGUUUACAAACACCUCUUCAAGCUCCUGCUUUCAAUUGUUUUGCAUAUAUACCCAAAAGCAGAUCAUAUGGUAAUUUUUGAAAAGUUCUUGAGAAACCACCAUACUGUUUUCCACAGUGGCUACACCAUUUUACAUUCUCACCAAUAGUACACAAAAGUUUCCAUUUCUCCAAGCCCUUGUUAGCACUUACUUUGUUUUUCGUGUAAUAGCCAUCCUAACGGAUGUGAAGUGCUAUCUCUUUUGUAGUUUUGACCUGCAUUUCCCUAAUGAUUAGUGAUAUUGGGCAUCUUUUCAUGUGCUUAUUGGCCAUUCGUAUAUCUUCUUCAGAGAAAUGCCUAUUAAAGUCCUUCGAUCAUUUUUUUCACCAUAUGUUUUUCUUUAAAAAUUGUUUUCAGUUACAGUUGACAUUGAAUAUUAUAUUAUUUUCAG